rnacentral:rRNA from 1 species
CCUUCGGGUUGUAAAGCACUUUUGUCAGGAACGAAACGGUCUGAGCUAAUACCUUGGGCUAAUGACGGUACCUGAAGAAUAAGCACCGGCUAACUACGUGC